UGAUGUCGCCCUGUAUUGGAUCAUAGAAUGGUGUAAGAGAGGAAUAUGGUACGUGCUUACCAUUAUAUGCGCAUUGAUCAUCAUGACUGGUUUUUUUCAAACUGAUCGCCUUGGCCUUACCUUUCUUGGCAUAUUCAAUUUAGCUGGGUUUCUUUUAUGUUGGAUUAUGGCAACAUUUCUACUAUGCAUUGCGAUGAUCAUAAGCGAUUUCUGUCAAGCACCGCUUAAGGUAUUGUACUUGCACAGUGGACAAAACAAAACGAUAUAUGACUUACUUCAGGUUGGCGGCGUCACUAAAACAUAUGAACCAAUAAACUUGGACGUUUAUCGAAACGAUAUAGAUAAAAUUACAAAGGAAGCUCGUAGUAACCAGUUAAGAAGACAUAAUGAUUAUUAUUAUGAAUAUUA